GAUGAACGCUAGCUACAGGCUUAACACAUGCAAGUCGAGGGGAAACGACAUCGAAAGCUUGCUUUUGGUGGGCGUCGACCGGCGCACGGGUGAGUAACGCGUAUCCAACCUGCCCACCACUUGGGGAUAACCUUGCGAAAGUAAGACUAAUGCCCAAUGACAUUUAUAGAAGGCAUCGGAAAUGAAUUAAAGAUUUAUCGGUGAUGGAUGGGGAUGCGUCUGAUUAGCUUGUUGGCGGGGUAACGGCCCACCAAGGCGACGAUCAGUAGGGGUUCUGAGAGGAAGGUCCCCCACAUUGGAACUGAGACACGGUCCAAACUCCUACGGGAGGCAGCAGUGAGGAAUAUUGGUCAAUGGGCGAGAGCCUGAACCAGCCAAGUAGCGUGCAGGAAGACGGCCCUAUGGGUUGUAAACUGCUUUUAUAGGGGAAUAAAGUGAGCCACGUGUGGCUUUUUGCAUGUACCCUAUGAAUAAGGACCGGCUAAUUCCGUG
rnacentral:rRNA from 1 species